AUUGAACGCUGGCGGCAGGCUUAACACAUGCAAGUCGAACGAGUGGCGGACGGGUUAGUAAUGCCUGGGAAACUGGCUUAUGGAGGGGGAUAACUACGGGAAACGGUAGCUAAUACCGCGUACCAUAGGAUGUCCCCAAGUGGGAUUAGGUAGUUGGUGCGGUAAAGGCUCACCAAGCCGACGAUCACUAGCUGGUCUGAGAGGAUGACAAGCCACACGGGGAAUGAGACACGGCCCAGAGUCCUACGGGAGGCAGCAGUGGGGAAUAGUGCGCAAUGGGGGCAACCUGACGCAGCCAUGCCGCGUGUAUGAAGAAGGCCUUCGGGUUGUAAAGUUCUUUCGGUAGCGAGGCGUUACCUACAGAAGAAGCACCGGCUAACUCCGUGCCAGCCGCCGCGGUAAUAC
rnacentral:rRNA from 1 species